rnacentral:rRNA from 1 species
GACGAACGCUGGCGGUGUGCUUAACACAUGCAAGUCGAACGGUAAGGCCCUUUCGGGGGUACACGAGUGGCGAACGGGUGCGUAACACGUGAGUAACCUGCCCUCAUCUCUGGGAUAACAGUCGGAAACGGUUGCUAAUACUGGAUAUGAGCUUGCAAGGCAUCUUGUGGGUUGGAAAGAUUUUUUUUGGUUGGGGAUGGACUCGCGGCCUAUCAGCUUGUUGGUGAGGUAGUGGCUCACCAAGGCUUCGACGGGUAGCCGGCCUGAGAGGGCGACCGGCCACAUUGGGACUGAGAUACGGCCCAAACUCCUACGGGAGGCAGCAGUGGGGAAUAUUGCACAAUGGACGGAAGUCUGAUGCAGCAACGCCGCGUGCGGGAUGACGGCCUUCGGGUUGUAAACCGCUGUCAAUUGUGACGAAGCUUUUUUGUGACGGUAGCAGUAGAAGAAGCACCGGCUAACUACGUG